GCUCCCAGGUGAUGCUGAGGCUUGAGUCUGUCUGAGUAUGGCACUUACACCUGAGUGACCUGGGUGACAGCUUGAAGAGCUGGUGUGCUUCAUGUGAGCCCUGGCAGCUGCCGGAAACAGUUUCUGAUCUUGAAGCUCACCUCGGUGAGAGCAGCAUGGGCUGAGAACACGGGAGCUGACUUCAGGUGUAACGGGAGGGCUGCAGGCUAGACCGCAAAGGAACAGCUCCCCGCUGACAGAAUGCUUGGAGAGACCCCAGGGAGAGCACCGUGGCCACCACAGCACCGGCCUCCAGGUUACCCCAAGCACAUGAGGCUGGAGAAGGUUCUGGAGUGUCUUCAAGCGGUUCAAGGCUUCUGCCAGAAACAAUUGGGAAAACAGAAUGCAGCCCAGGAUCGAAAGAAUCUAUCCAUUCCUCUGGAAUUCUCCAUCUGUCCGGCUGGGCCCCAUAUUAACAUUUGAGUAAUUCCCUAAUGUGAAGUCGCCAGGCUUUAAAAAUAGUGCAGGCA